AGGGGGCUAGCGUUGUUCGGAAUUACUGGGCGUAAAGCGUGCGCAGGCGGCUUCUCAAGUCAGGGGUGAAAGCCCAGAGCUUAACUCUGGAAUUGCCUUUGAGACUGAGGAUCUUGAGUUCGGGAGAGGUGAGUGGAACUGCGAGUGUAGAGGUGAAAUUCGUAGAUAUUCGCAAGAACACCAGUGGCGAAGGCGGCUCACUGGCCCGAUACUGACGCUGAGGCACGAAAGCGUGGGGAGCAAACAGG
rnacentral:rRNA from 1 species